rnacentral:rRNA from 1 species
CGGACGGGUGAGUAAUGUCUGGGAAACUGCCCGAUGGAGGGGGAUAACUACUGGAAACGGUAGCUAAUACCGCAUAACGUCGCAAGACCAAAAGGGGGGACCUUCGGGCCUCUUGCCAUCGGAUGUGCCCAGAUGGGAUUAGCUAGUAGGUGGGGUAACGGCUCACCUAGGCGACGAUCCCUAGCUGGUCUGAGAGGAUGACCAGCCACACUGGAACUGAGACACGGUCCAG